AUUGAACGCUGGCGGCAGGCUUAACACAUGCAAGUCGAACGAGUGGCGGACGGGUGAGUAAUGCUUGGGAAUCUAGCUUAUGGAGGGGGAUAACUACGGGAACCUGUAGCUAAUACCGCGUACCAUAGGAUGAGCCCAUGUGGGAUUAGGUAGUUGGUGAGGUAAAGGCUCACCAAGCCGACGAUCUCUAGCUGGUCUGAGAGGAUGACCAGCCAAACGGGGACUGAGACACGGCCCAGACGCCUAGGGGAGGCAGCAGUGGGGAAUAUUGCGCAAUGGGGGAAACGUGAAGCAGCCAUGCCGCGUGAAUGAAGAAGGCCUGCGGGUUGUAAAGUUGUUUCGGUAGCGAGGCGUUAGCUGCAGAAGAAGCACCGGCUAACUCCGUGCCAGCAGCCGCGGUAAUAC
rnacentral:rRNA from 1 species